rnacentral:rRNA from 1 species
UACGGAGGGUGCAAGCGUUAUCCGGAUUCACUGGGUUUAAAGGGUGCGUAGGUGGGUUGGUAAGUCAGUGGUGAAAUCUCCGGGCUUAACUCGGAAACUGCCGUUGAUACUAUCAAUCUUGAAUGUUGUGGAGGUAAGCGGAAUAUGUCAUGUAGCGGUGAAAUGCUCAGAUAUGACAUAGAACACCGAUAGCGAAGGCAGCUUGCUACACAAUUAUUGACACUGAGGCACGAAAGCGUGGGGAUCAAACAGG